CUCUCUUUUGAUCGUCGUUCAGUGUACUCGAUUACUUUUUCGAGCACCUAUGUGUUUGUCUUAGUGUCCAACACCAAAUGACUUGAGACUAGUUCAUACUCACGUUUGAGUCAACAUAACACAUACUAACCUUAGCGGAUUGUUAAUGCCCAAUUGGCAAUCCUAUGGCUAGGAACGUUUUAGGAAUGAACAUAAGAGAAUGGUCUCGAUAAUCUAACUCACUUAGAUCACUUGUCUCUUAGAUCAAAUACAUCCCUUGGAUUCCCUUAUUGCUUAAACACAUGAUACAAUAAAUAGUGAUUAACAAUAAGCUUUGCCCUUCAUUAAACAUAUAAAAGUUUAAUACAAUAAGUAUUCCAAAAGCUAUUACAUCAAAUGAGUGGCUUUGUGGGCAUACUUCCAACAAUUUGUUGAAUUAGAUGGAUGAUGGGCUAGCUAGAGAGUUCUUCUCCACACAUGACACAUUUGCAUUAAAAUUGAUUUCCAAUUGCUUCUCUCAAUAAGUCAUGAAACUUAAUACUCCAGGUUAACUGUGACAUCACUUUUUUAACCUUCAAGUUCUCCUAAGGUUAAUGAAUUGGAUGGGAAAGCACAUACAACAAUUCAAAGCAUUCUCUAAAAGUCCCCUACGUGAAAAGCACAAUAAAGGUACAAUCAAGGAUCAUUAAGUUUGAUGAAAACUAUAAGCAUUGACAAGGCAAUUGUAACUAUGAAAAGCAUGAAACUUUUGCCAAGAAUUCAUUUAACACGAUCGUUUAUGAGCGACCUCCAAUACUUGCAAAUAUAAGCUUGUAACUAUUAGGUGAAACUCCCUUAUAUUUUAGCUUCAAAUCCUUGCAUGAAAACUAACUGUGCACUCUUAAUAAACAUACAAGAAUAAGUUAUCAAUCAAACGGUUAAGCAAAUUGAAUUCACAACUUAUGAAAUAACAACUGAAGGUAAUCAAUUCAUAAUGCAAGUAUAAUCAUGGUAUUGAAUAGCCCCCUAGCCAAGAAGGGCUUAGUUCCUCAUAAACGCAAAACAAAGAUACAUAAAUUUAGACAUUGAAAACAAAGAAUGAAAACACCUAAAAACGCUCCAAUCCAAAUUGAAUGGCGAGCACGUCCAAGGGUCUCCUUCCUUUUUCUUUGCUGCGGUAAAAGGGAUGGGUGAAGGUUUUUUGUGGUGAUUUGUGGUGGUGGAUGGAUAUAGGUUGGUUAUGGUGAAGGGUGGAGUGCUUAGAAUGGUCAGAAAGGGGUCUUAUUUAUAGGGAAAGGAAGGGCUACAAAUUUAUUAAUUUUGGAAUCAGAAAUCAAUGGAAAAUAGGCAAGAAAGGUGCAGGAAUUAAAGAGAAUAGGAAAGGAAAUUCGGAAGAGAGUGUAGGACAGAUUUAGGAAUGUGUUUUGAGGCACAAAAUAGGUAAGAAUCCUCUCCCCUUGUGCAACAAGAAUUGAAACAAAAGGGAAUGCAAUUUUGGGUCAGAAAAUAGGUAAGAAAGGAGAGAAAGGUGCGGUAAUGCCUAGAACUAAAGGGGAAUGUGAAUUAAAAUCAGAAAAUAGGAAAGGAGAGGAUCCCUUGUGCGGCAAGGAACGGAAAAAGCCUCGGGUGGUGCGGCAAUAUCUAGGGCAGGUUCUAGGACUUCUAGAAAUAUGUAAUUAGGCAACCUAACAUGUUUUGAAACCCUUUUGUGGCUGGAACAUA
rnacentral:lncRNA from 1 species